UACGGGGGGGGCAAGCGUUGUUCGGAAUUACUGGGCGUAAAGCGUUUGUAGGCGGCUCUAUAAGUCGGGUGUGAAAUCCCAUGGCUCAACCAUGGAAGUGCAUUCGAAACUGCAGAGCUUGAAUAUGGAAGAGGAGAGUAGAAUUCCUGGUGUAGUGGUGAAAUACGUAGAUAUCAGGAGGAAUACCGGUGGCGAAGGCGGCUCUCUGGUCCAAUAUUGACGCUGAGAAACGAAAGUGCGGGGAUCAAACAGG
rnacentral:rRNA from 1 species